rnacentral:rRNA from 1 species
AACGAACGCUGGCGGCGUGUUUAAGACAUGCAAGUUGUACGGGGAACAUGGAAAGCUUGCUGGAAAUGUUCCUAGUGGCGCACGGGUGAGUAACACGUGAGUUACAUGCCCUGCAGAGGGAGAUAGCCCGCCGAAAGGCGGAUUAAUACCCCAUGGUACCUUCGGGUUAAAGGUGGCUUCGGCUGCCGCUGCAGGAUGGCUCGCGUCCUAUCAGCUAGUUGGUGAGGUAACGGCUCACCAAGGCGACGACGGGUACCUGGUCUGAGAGGACGAUCAGGCACACUGGAACUGAGACACGGUCCAGACACCUACGGGUGGCAGCAGUCGAGAAUAAUUCACAAUGGGGGAAACCCUGAUGGUGCAACGCCGCGUGGAGGAUGAAGGUCUUCGGAUUGUAAACUCCUGUCAUUUGAGAGCAAGACCUGGCGGUGAAUAGCCGACAGGGUUGAUAGUAUCGAAAGAGGAAGGGACGGCUAACUUCGUGCCAGCAGCCGCGGUAAUACGAAGGUCCCGAGCGUUGUUCGGAAUCACUGGGCGUAAAGGGAGCGUAGGCGGUAUGGUAAGUCAGAUGUGAAAUCCCGGGGCUCAACCCCGGAACUGCAUCCGAUACUGCCA